rnacentral:misc_RNA from 1 species
CUGCUGCUGCUGCUGCUGUUGCUGAAGAUAUUGCAUUUGCAGCAACUGCUGUUGAUAUUGUUGCUGCAAAAGCUGCUGCUGUUGCGGCUGUUGAUGUUGCAGCAACUGCUGCUGUUGCCAAAGAAGCUGCUGUUGCUGGUAGUAAUAAUAUUGCCACAUCUGGUUAUAUGCUUGGUUAUUUUGCACAUUCCCUUGUUGCUCAUUACUUUGGCUGGGAUGCUGAGACAUUUGCGAUUGAGGAUUCAUACCAGGAUGUAUGAGUGGUUGAUACUGAAAAGCGUGGGAAAGAUUCUGCUGUUGCAGAUUUUGCAUUGCCCAAGCUUGCGGUGCUGUUUGAUUAGCCUGAACAUUAGAUGCAGGAUACUGACUUUGUAGUUGGCCACCUUGCUGAACUUGUAGAUUUUGUGAAAAUUGAGAUUGAGAUGGGUAAUCUCGAUUCAUGUCUUUUUCAGCUCGUGGGUGCAUUCGUUGUGGAGAAGACUGCAGCUGUUUAUGCAUUCUUUUAUGUGAAUGCCCACGAAACCCAGAUUUGGAAUCUCUGCGAAAUCUGUCAGAACUACCCUUUUGAUGCCAGUUUUUACCAUUAUUUUCUAGUUUCUGUGGUUGUAGACGUGUGUGUGCCAUACUGUUCUGAUUACUUGCUGAAGAUGACGGACUAACAUGUCCAGUAUUAGUUUGGGCAGAAGCUGUUGCUUGAGUGCUCAAUGGGCUGGAUAUAAUACGAUCAACAAUAGCAUUCUGACCACUCUCUAACAUAUUUUCAUUUACCAUACUAUUUUUCAGAGCUUCACUCUUUGGCACAUUUCCAUCUGACAAAAUAGUUUUGUCAGGAGCUCCAGAAUCAUAAGCUGUGGGACUGAUAGGACCUGGAGAUUUAGCAUCCUGAGUAUCUAGGGAAAGUCCCUCCAGUGAAGGUGGUUUCAAGUCCUGUUCAGGCUCAUGACCAUGUUCUUUGUGCACAUCAUUUUCUUUGGAAAAUUCCAAUGAAGCUGGAGUACUUUCAGUUACAUCAGCAACUUGAGUUUUUAAAUCAAGAGACAGAUUUGGUUCAACGUCUUUUCCAGAUGGCUCUGAAACUUUGAGAGACACCAUGCGCACACUCUCAUGCACAUUGUUGUCAGGUUCUCCCGAUUGAAGCAGGUCAACUUUUGCCUGAAACACACUCUCCUGAUUUUUGUCAGAUAGGUCAUUGGGAUUUUCCAGCAAUGGUAAUUCCUGGUCUGAUACCUUAUUUGAUAGCAUAUCAUGAUUUUUCAAUAAGGGCAAUUUCUGGUCUGAGACCUGGUCAGUGGCAGGAUGGGCAGCCUGGGUAUCGUGAUUUUCCAGUGGGGACAGUUUCUUGUCUUGCAGUGGUGUCUGGGUCAGGCACUGAGAACUGCUAUCUCCAGAAGGCUGAUGGGGCAAACUGACAUGGGUUUCUUCAUGUGUCUCCAGAGUUAUCUUCCAUUGUUUUGUUCCCAUAGCUGGACAAAAUAAACUAGCCCUUACAGACUCCGGGAACAAUCUAAUGUGCUGAUUCCAGGCCUUCCUUACAUCAAGGAUGGUUCCACAGAGGUCAACAAACUCUAGGUAUUGUUUUGAUAUUUGCUCCCUUUCUGUUGCACUGAAACCUUGAGAUACACCUGGCCUUGGAGAUAUUGCAUUUGCUACAAUGGCAUCUAUCACAUUUAGAUGACUUGAUCCUCUAUGUGUUAUUCCAAAUUUUAUUAAUUCCUCUAUAAGUAACUUGCAGUAAGGCACUUGCUUGAUUCCAUCUAUCAAGAUGUCUCUAGCAGCAUCUUCACUAUCAGUAGUCAUGUGUUUAAGUCGAGAAAAGUUAACAUACAAAGUAGGAAGAAUAUGCCACUUUUCCUUCGCUGCAGCCUUUUCAAUUGCUUCAUUGUAUAUAGUAGAAGCUGCAAUGAAAUUUCCCAGACGUUUUUCCAUGUUAGAUCUCAUUACAACAUUUUCAACGAAGUCUGAAUCUGAUUCUGUAUCACAUUGAAGAAAGGCAGCACGUGCAUUAAACUCAUCCCUUAUGCGCUCCCUAAACCUGGCAUUGAACAGAUGAAUCACUGACACCCUCUUCAGGAAGAUUUGUGUAGCCCGGUCCAGUGCAUAGUGUGCUAUCUCUCUUCCUCCUUUACUUUCCACGAACUCCGUGUAACGGAUCCAGAACUCAGGGUAAUUAGCACAAGGAAUUAAGCAUCUUUCAUAAAGUUUAACAGCCCAGUCAAAAUCUCCAUGCAAUUCAGCAAAGUCCAGAUAGUGAUGCCAAUUUUCCAAUUGACUGACAUCAAGUGGUUUGACAUGGAAAUAAGACCUCUUAAUUCGGGUCUCAAAAUAACUUAUUUUUUCAUUCAACUGGGAUGCUUUCUGAAAGGACUGUUCACCAAUAGACAUAUAUUUCUGCAGCGCUUUAAACCUGGCUGAGCCAAUCGAUGGAUCCAGCAAGUCUUUAAUUAUGCAAGAAAUGUCAUCUUGGCUAUAGCAUAUAGAAACUUCAUUAUCAAGCAUAGGCUCUACUGAUGUUGUCAUGCUAGGAUUGCUAUGAGAUUCCAUCUCUUCUUCCCAAAUUUCCACUAAUUUCUUAAAACUAUCAUAAUAGUGAAGUAGCUUUUUUGUUGGAAACCUCAAUGUUUGGAUGUAAAUGUCAGCCAGGGAACUCCAAUGCUUCAGAGAGAACUCAAAGUCGAUGUAUUUAUCCCACAAGAUAUGGCAUAAGUAAUCCUUUCCAACAAAGGAUAUGGCUCUUCUGAAUAAUCUGUGAACAUCAUAUGGAUCUUCAAAAACCAUUCUCCCAAAAUUACAAUAAUCAACCCACAUAUCAACAGAAUAAGUUGCCGAUAACACAGCUCGUUCAAAGGCUUCAACAACCUUGUCAACAGUGCAUAAGCGUAUCUUGUGAUUAAUAUACUUCCUCCAAUAGCCAUAGCACAGAGGAAACUUGGACAAGAAAGAGUCAUACGCUAAACAUAUUUUCUCUAUGUUAUCCUGAAAAAUUAUGCAAAAGAACCUUAUUCUCAAUCAUCAAAGAAAUAACCAAUGUGCUGCAUAAAUCUAUAAUAAAAAAGAAACUUAACUAGUGACUAUAUUAGACACAUAAACAAAAACACAUGUAAAAUGAAGUCCCCUAUCCUUAAGAAUGUAGUAGAUAAUAAAACAACAAGGAGAGUGAGAUCUGCAGAUUCCAUGGGUACCAUCUGCCAUGUGAUCAGCUCUCACAACAUCAUUUGCAGUAUCAUUUUCAUCAUCA